rnacentral:snRNA from 1 species
GAACAAAUGCAAGUCUGCCGU